UCCGCCGUAAACGUUGGGCACUAGGUGUGGGACCCUAUCGACGGGUUCCGUGCCGUAGCUAACGCAUUAAGUGCCCCGCCUGGGGAGUACGGCCGCAAGGCUAAAACUCAAAGGAAUUGACGGGGGCCCGCACAAGCGGCGGAGCAUGUUGCUUAAUUCGAUGCAACGCGAAGAACCUUACCUAGGCUUGACAUGUAGCGAAAAGCCGUAGAGAUACGGUGUCCUUCGGGGCGCUACACAGGUGGUGCAUGGUUGUCGUCAGCUCGUGUCGUGAGAUGUUGGGUUAAGUCCCGCAACGAGCGCAACCCUUGUCCUAUGUUGCCAGCGGAUAAUGCCGGGGACUCGUAGGAGACUGCCGGGGUCAACUCGGAGGAAGGUGGGGAUGACGUGUAACCGAAUC
rnacentral:misc_RNA from 1 species